AUUGAACGCUGGCGGCAGGCCUAACACAUGCAAGUCGAACGAGUGGCGGACGGGUGAGUAAUGUCUGGGAAACUGCCCGAUGGAGGGGGAUAACUCCUGGAAACGGUAGCUAAUACAGCAUACCAUCGGAUGUGCCCCGAUGUGAUUAGCUAGUAGGUGGGGUAACGGCUCACCUAGUCGACGAUCCCUAGCUGGUCUGAGAGGAUGACCAGACACACUGGAACGAAGACACGGUCCAGACUCCUACGGGAGGCAGCAGGGGGGAAUAUUGGACAAUGGGCGCAAGCCUGAUGAAGCCAUGCCGCGUGUAUGAAGAAGGCCUUCGGGUUGUAAAGUACUUUCAGCGAGGAGGCGUUACUCGCAGAAGAAGCACCGGCUAACUCCGUGCCAGCAGCCGCGGUAAUAC
rnacentral:rRNA from 1 species